CGACGGCCAUAAAAGUCAGACCCGGCAAUCCCCGGGAGCAACGGCGAGGUGCACCACGCAGUCGGUCAAUCAUGCUGGCCCAUGCCAACCCCGUUUCCCAGUCGCUCAUCUGCAGAGAGAGAAAAAAGCAACAAUUUAUUGUGUAAAUAAGGUCAAUUCCAUUGUGCCACGUAUAGAAAAAAUAAGUAAUAAAAGCCUUAUUGUUAACUUUAAAAGGAUUUCCAUCGAGUAAUGGAUUGCAAAUAAGUUUAUCAAUCUUUUCAUUUCAGUUAUUUUAAGAUAUUUUUUUUUCAGUGCCUGCCCGGGGCUCCUUUGCGAUGCGAUCUCCUCGCCGAGUGCUGCUCCAACUUCAUCCGCAUCCCAGUGGCCAAUCUGUGGGCCUUUCAAUCAUUUCGUACGAUUUUCAAAUUUGUAAUUUACGAGUGUGUCUGCGGCC
ensembl:ncRNA lncRNA:CR44527 long non-coding RNA:CR44527